rnacentral:rRNA from 1 species
UACGUAGGGGGCAAGCGUUGUCCGGAUUCAUUGGGCGUAAAGAGCGUUUAGGCGGCCAGGUAGGUCGGUUGUGAAAACUGGAGGCUCAACCUUCAGAGGUCGACCGAAACCAUCUGGCUAGAGUCCGGGAGAGGAGAGUGGAAUUCCUGGUGUAGCGGUGAAAUGCGCAGAUAUCAGGAAGAACACCCGUGGCGAAAGCGGCUCUCUGGAACGGUACUGACGCUGAGACGCGAAAGCGUGGGGAGCGAACAGG